rnacentral:rRNA from 1 species
AGAAUCAACGCUGGCGGCGUGCCUAACACAUGCAAGUCGAACGCGAAAGUCCCGCAAGGGAUUAGUAGAGUGGCAAACGGGUGAGUAACACGUGGGUGACCUGCCUUCGAGUGGGGGAUAACGUCCCGAAAGGGACGCUAAUACCGCAUGACAUCCUGUCUUUGGAAAGACGGAGAUCAAAGCUGGGGAUCGCAAGACCUGGCGCUUGAAGAGGGGCCCGCGCCUGAUUAGCUAGUUGGUAGGUAACGGCCUACCAAGGCGACGAUCAGUA